CUACCAACACAGCUCAUGUAUGCUGAUCCAGCUCCUACUAAAAAAAAGUCUUCAAUGAAGUGAAGACUUGAAACCUCUUAGCAAGGAGGCAGCAGGCUGGGCGUACUCAAGGCAGGAAGACUCAUUUUCCUGGCAGUCUGUGCCUGGCAUGGUGAGGAUGGAGUUCACGGCUGCCAGCCCAUCACCCGUCACAGCAUCCAGAUCCAAGAGGAAAUCAUCUGGCAAGUUCUUGGGACACGACAGUUUAGUGAUUGAGAAUGAACUGAGGCCAAACCACCCGAGGUGCAGCUCUGGCUGCCUGUCUCCCUGUGACCUUGACCAAGUUAACCUCCAAGUCAUCAGAGUCCAUCAUGAAGUGGGCUCUGGAGCUGGGGGUGCUUUCCAAGCCCAUCGAGUUCUUAGCAGAGGGCAUGGUGGGUCCUGAAUAAAAAGUCUUAUUUGCA